rnacentral:rRNA from 1 species
GUCUAUGGCCAUACCACCCUGAAUGCACCCGAUCUCGUCUGAUCUCAGAAGCUAAGCAGGGUCAGGCCUGGUUAGUACUUGGAUGGGAGA